rnacentral:lncRNA from 10 species
GCACCAGUGAGUGUCAGGUUGUUAAUUGUUAUUAUUACAAUGAUGUCUUUGCUGCCAGUUAGAACAAUUUCCAUCUCAAUAGUGGAUUCACCUAACUUCAUGUGUCCUAGCAGAAGAAAUCUGCUUGUAUGCCUGUCCUGCCAAGAAAAUGCAGGUCACUUCCUCUGGCUUUCUUGCCUUAAGAGUUCCUGUUUCUGCCGAAGCAGAAGCAGGAAGAGAAAGUGACACAGUGAUGUUUGCUGAGCAGAGCAAGAUUCUGUCCAGUGACUUCUUUUUCCCCAAUUAGGAGGGCGUGUGGGCAAGACGUGGAUUGUUCUUUACACUCUCCCCAUCUUUUCAGCUUUUUCCAAGAGGCCUUGAUCUCUAUCCUGAGGCUUUCCUCAUCAGCGCAUGACGAACCAGGAAGAUCCUGAUAAAGACACUGCACUCCACCCAGAUUCCCUUGGAGUCUAUGCGCUGUUUCUGGGCUCAUCCUCCAGCCUCAGUGUGUUUGCUACCACACAGCAUGUCCUGUGGGACAGGAGAAAUAUGGAGAAUGCAGCACACUUGCUUCCUACCGAAGUAGGUAUUUUCUUUCCAGAUUUCCUUCAGUUGUGAAGUCUGACGAUUUCAAUUUUUUUGGAUGAAAUAGAAAAUGCUCACCUAAAAAUGUAAGUCAGAUUUGUUAAAAUCACUUCCAAAGGAUACUGAUAUGUCAGGUAGCGUUUGCAUACACAAUAAUUUCUUUAAAAUACAUUUUCCAGGUGGAUUUAUUAUUAUAGCCAUAUUGAAAGUAAUUUUCCUUAUUGUGGAGAAAGAUACAAUAGUCUAGCUUAGCCCAAUUCUAUUAACAGGUAACUCUUUUAACCAACUCCUCUUGUUUUGAUUGCAUGCUUAUGUGUGCUAAGCUGCCUUUCUUGGAUGGCCUCCAAAUUAUUACCAUGUCUUGACAUUCAUGCUCUGUUUUAUCUUG